ACAUCUCUCUCUAAUUUAUUCUCAGCUACAGAAUGACAUGUAUCUAUGCUACUUACUAAUGUGAUGGAUAAUGCAUGUGGAUUGAUUCAUGAAUUAGCAAAAUAUUUCAUUUGAGAUGUGCUAGAGAACGGUUUUGAUCUAACUGAAUAAUACGAAGUAUUUUAGUUUUGAUGGUAAUAGACGAGCAACUUUAGUUGUAUUUGGUUUCAGUUUUUGUUUUCAGUAUAUGUUGGUCAGGAUUCAACUUUGUUUAUGUCCAUGUUUUGCUGGUAUAAUGCAUCAUCAAGCUUUCUUUUUGUAUGAUGAUAUUGUGUAAAUCAGCAUAUGGAUGUGGAAAAUAUUCUUAGCGGCAUUAGCCUAGACAAGGAUGUUGAUGGUUAAUGGUUUACAUCCCUUAAACAUUGGUAAUGUUGCCCUUAGAAGCUGGAAACCUAUGAUUGUUUCUUGCGCUACAAUAUGGAUUUAUCUCAUGGAAAGCACGCGUGGUGAAAGAAAGGUAUUAGCCAAUCCUACAAGUUUUGGUUUAUUUUUCGGAUAGUCCUUUUUGACUGAUUAAUCAUGUGUGACGUUUCAUGCAGUGAUCUGUCCUAACCAGGAAGACAACACUGAGGGUGGCGGAUGUUUGCUAUGAGGUGGUGUAUGUACGUGCUGCACCUCAUGGCCGUGGCCUGCUUCCUGCAAGCCAAUUUACUGCUUCUUCCGAGGUCAUAUAGUGAUGCUAUGGCACCGAGAAUCUGGAGGUUAGUAAUUCUAUUCUAUUCUUCUCUAUUAAGAACAGUGUUAUUUUUCAUGAUUUAGUGACUGAUGAGUGCUAAUAAAUUAAUUCAAUCAUAUUGGGCCAUCUGUUAUAGAGCUAAACGAACCAUCUGAAGUGGGAUGCAUUGCAUUUUCCCAACAGAAUUUACAGUAGCACCAAGAAGGGUUGUGUCCAUCAUCCUCAUCAUGUCCGAUCUAGGCCGCCGGAGCACCAAGUCGCUGGCCUAUUCUAACAAGUCCAGGCCCUCGAGGCAGCCCUUCUCGCCGUGGAAGGAGACCCCGAUCUGUAGGAACGCCGGGUAUGGUCCCGUAAUUAACAACAAGACUCUCCUCUGUCCAUCCGCAUAACUCCCAUGAAGAAAAAUCUCUAAACUCCAGUCACCACCUUUAUGUCGAUCUAAGCGGUGGAGAGUUUGGUAUGGUGGCAAAUCAAGCAACUGCAGAUGGAGUCAUUCCAUGUUACUGCAUUGAGUUAGCAUACGCGGCAUGGAUGAUAGAUCAAACCCAAGUGAUUUGGAUUCUCAUGUUGGCUUCCUUCUCACAGUCGUGAACAUCCGUGAGUGAAUUUGGUUAUUUAGAACAAAAUCUAAGACUUGACCAAAUGAAAUUGGUAUUUUGUUGAACUGAACGACACACAUAUUGCCUAACCGUAAUUAUGUUACCUAUCACGACCUCAUGUGCUCCUGAAGCAAGCUGAUGUGUGUUGUGUGUACACGUUGUACACUGAAUUGUUCAUGCGAAAAGAUACAGCAGUAGAUACAAUCUACGCCAUGGAGCCGCUGGUGGGGCUCGACGAGGACGAGCGCUAGAAGGAGGUGUGCAUGAUGCCCAAACGUGGCGUCGAGGCCUUCCACAUCCGCACCCAAGCCGCGUCACUACCAAGCUGCUACAAGCAUACAGGGCCUUCCGUGUUCAAGCUGAAAAGGCAAGAAGAUCUCAUUAUUAACAUGGAUAAAAAAGGUGGAACGUCUUCUUCAGUAGAAUUACACAAUGGUUGGCUGAAGCUUUGGAUUGCUAAAGUACCAAGAAAGGUAAAAAUCCAUCUUUGGUGUAUUUAUUUUCAGAGAAUUUAUGUUGGAGAUGAGCUUAAGAGAAGAAAGUAUAUAGAUAUGGUAAGUUGUCCUUACUGCUUCAAGGGGGAAGCAUUUAUCACUGCUUUUGGGGUUGUAUUUAUGUCAGAUUCCUGGAGGAAGCUGUUAGUAAUUUGUGAUUUCUCGUGAUCUAAAAUUGUCGAUCGGAAAUUUUCUUCAUCGAAGUCCAUUCCAAUCGCCAACAAUUCUGUUUGCACACUCAGGUUUGUGCUUUUCUAUGGUGAUUUAUUAAACAUACUUUGGCUUACGAUCCCCUUUGACGUACACUUGUGCCCUCCACUACACAUUAUUUUCAGUUUGCCAAAUACUGUAGUAGGUAAUGAACUACAGAAAGCGGAUUGUUGAGUUUACCAAGCAUAAUGGCACACCUAAUUUUGGCAAAUCACCUGAAGAGUAUUUCAAGCAAAGAUGCGUUGAGAUUUUCACAUGACUAUAUGAGGUUACCAUAAACUCCUGUAUUGCCACAAUAGCUUCUUUUAAUGCAAUAGGGAAUUGUCUUUUUUUGUAUCAGGUAAAUAGUUCCUUUCUCACACUUUUUUCAGACUGAGAUCGUGUGCUGCUGCUGUGUGGUGUUCUAUUUCUGCUGUAUUCUUUUUGCUUUUUUGGGGGGCUUCUUCUCAUUCUUCUUUGGCACCUACGCUCUACUUGGGGAAACUUUGUACAUGGCAAUACAUAGAUUGGAAUUGAGAUUUGGAGCAAUUUUGUUCGUUUUCCUGUGUACUGAUGUUGCCAUUAUUUGUGCGAUGAUGCCAUUAUAUUGUACAAAGGGAAGAGACAGUUAGAGAGAUGGAUAGAAAUUACUAGCUACUGUAUUUGUGUUGUAAUUGUUUAUUAUUAAAGCUUAUUGUUUAUUGGUUGUUA